rfam:Gossypium raimondii Chr11_contig_980, whole genome shotgun sequence.
UAUUAAAAUUUGCAUAUAUUUUUACUCUUAAAAAUUGGCAUGGUUGACAUAAUAAUCAUAUAGUUACACAUGGCUCAUCAUGUAUACAUCAUGUUGACGUACAAAUAUCAAUUUUUAACAGUAGAAAUAAAUGUAAUUUUUAACA